CCUACGGGGGGCAGCAGUGAGGAAUAUUGGUCAAUGGGCGGGAGCCUGAACCAGCCAAGCCGCGUGAGGGAAGAAGGUACAGCGUAUCGUAAACCUCUUUUGUCAGGGAACAAAGGCGGGGACUAGUCCCCGGAUGAGGGUACCUGAAGAAAAAGCAUCGGCUAACUCCGUGCCAGCAGCCGCGGUAAUACGGAGGAUGCGAGCGUUAUCCGGAUUUAUUGGGUUUAAAGGGUGCGCAGGCGGCGAGUUAAGUCAGCGGUAAAAUUUCGGGGCUCAACCCCGACGAGUCGUUGAAACUGGCUUGC
rnacentral:rRNA from 1 species